rnacentral:lncRNA from 1 species
AAGCCGGUCAUUCGUGGACCCCGGAGCCUCCAGCCCAGAGGCCGGCUGCCCAGUUGCAGCGCCCGCUGUCUCCAUGUUUAGGUCGCCUCUAGUGCGUCCGUCCCCAACUGGGCCCGGGUGGAAGCGAGAACCAGGCGGAGGAGAAAGGUUCCGCUACCGCCUCCUCCUGUGCAAUCUGAAGAAGGGUCCGGAGUGCGGCCGCUGUCCCCAAACCCUCCUCCCGCGCCGGGGCCGGGAAGACGUGCUGUGCCCAGCCCCAGGGGCGAUGCCCUCCAAGGCCGUCUCUUAGGGAGGAUCUUUUGACUUCUCCAAGGAGAUCAUUGCUGGACUUAAGUGAUUACUUUGGCUGUUUGAAAGAACGCUCAGCCCCGACUGUAGGAGGCAGUGAGGGUCGCAGAUUGCGCCAAGAUUCCAGGCCCCGCCUGUGAGACCCUGGAGCUCAUUUUCCUGAUCAAGCUUACAUUGUGUCCAACGAUUUGGCCAGCGCUAACACUCCACGAUUCUAAAACGCAAGCCUAGGUCUUCUGUCUGUACUUUUCUAGGUAACUUCCUAACAGUGUUGAGUAAACUGUAAGUGACAGGCUUUCUCCCUGGAGGAGAGCCAGCCACCCGGUUCUGCGGUGACGGUUACCCCCGCCGCGGUGUGAGUGCUCGGCCUCCGUCGGGAAGUGGAACACUCACAGGAUGACCGAAUGAAGGUACCACCCGCGAGAGGAGAGCGACGCCCGCUGGAAGCGCUUGCAGAGCUGCCGGCAACGUUGACCGCUAGCAAGCUUGGUCUUCCGCUGGGAGGCUGGUUUGCCCAUUCUGUAAAUGGCCAUGGAGAGGAGGAGGCUAGUGGUGAUAGAAAAUCUUUUCAGCCUCUCAGAGAACAAUGACAUCUUGUAAAAUAAGGCGGUCUCUCUGCUAUUUGUCCUGCCCCCCAUCACCGGAGGGCAUGAGUUUCCUGAGGAUGGAGAUGGGACUCUAUGUUCAGUUUAUAUCCCCCAGCUUUCAGAGUUGCAUGACUAUGGAAAUGAGAGUGACCUUGGGUCAUGUAGCUGAUC